UGAGCAAUCUGCCCUUCUCUUCGGAAUAAGCGUUGGAAACGACGUCUAAUGCCGAAUACGACCUCCUUUCGCAUGAUCGGAGGUGGAAAGCUCCGGCGGAGAAGGAUGAGCUCGCGGCCUAUCAGCUAGUUGGUGUGGGUAAUGGCCCACCAAGGCGACGACGGGUAGCCGGCCUGAGAGGGUGACCGGCCAUACUGGGACUGAGACACGGCCCAGACUCCUACGGGAGGNAG
rnacentral:rRNA from 1 species